UAAUCGAAGGCCUAGUGGUUAGAGCGUUCGCAUCGGAUGCGGGAGGUCUUGAGUUCGAUUCCCGGUCGAGUCU